AAUGGCCUUAUAAGUGGGAGAACACCAAAUCAGGAGCAGUAUAGCUGAACAGGCCAUUUUGGUUCAAAGAGGGCAGCCCACCCCAAUUUGAGAUCCAGUUUAAUUAAAAAAAACGAAAAAAUCCAGAGACACAACGAUCUUGAAAGUUGAAACUGGCCGGAAAACCCACGCUAACCUUCUUUCACUUUCACUUUCUAUUUCGGCAAACACGUCCCCUUGAAAUGUUUAUUCAAUAUCCCUCGCUUCUCCUGGAGCUUGCGAAGUCCCAUCAAACGCUAUCAAUAACCAAGCAGUUACAUGCUUCGAUCACCAGAGUCCACCUCUCACAUGACUCGUUUUAUGCUACUAAAAUUCUAAGAUUCUACGGCUUGAACAAUGACCUUCGCUCUGCUUGCAACCUGUUCGAUAAAACUCCUCAACGCAGCGUUUUCCUCUGGAAUUCCAUGAUUCGAGCUUUUGCCCGAGCCCACAAAUUUGAUGAAGCGCUAUCGCUGUAUACAAAGAUGCUAGGAACCCAAAUCAGACCCGAUAACUUUACUUAUGCGUGUCUUAUACGAGCGUGCCAUGAAAACUUUGAUCUGGAUGGUUUGAGACUUGUACAUGGAGGAGUAAUUGUUUCUGGGUUGGCAUUGGAUUCUGUUUCCUGUAGUGCACUGGUGACAGCUUAUUCAAAGAUGGGCCUUGUUAGCGAAGCGAGCAAGGUGUUUUCCGGGGUAUCUGAGCCGGAUUUGGUUCUAUGGAAUUCUAUGAUUUCUGGCUAUAGUUUUUGUGAAUUUUGGGCUGAAGGGUUGCGGUUGUUUAAUAGGAUGCGAGAGAAUGGGAAGCAGCAGCCAGAUGGUUACACUUUGGUUGGGAUCAUCUCAGGUUUAAUGGAUUUUAGUCAGCUGGGAAUUGGCCUAGGGAUUCAUGGGCUGUGCUUGAAAAGUGGUUUUGAUUGCAGUGCUUAUGUAGGCAGUGCACUUGUAAGCAUGUAUUCAAGAUUCAAAUGCAUGAAUUUAGCAUAUGGUGUUUUUAUCAGCUUAUGUCAGCCUGAUUUAGUUGCAUGGUCUGCUCUGAUAACUGGAUAUUCUCGGUAUGGAGAUCAUAAGAAGGCACUGUUUUUCUAUAGGAAUCUAUCCGUGGAAGGCAAGAAGUCAGAUUCCAUUUUGAUUGCCAGUAUAUUGGUGGCUGCUGCCCAUUUGGCAGAUGUAAGGUGUGGUUCUGAGAUACAUGGUUAUGUUCUUCGACAUGGAUUUGAAUCUAAUGUCAAGGUUUCUUCGGCUCUCAUAGAUAUGUAUUUGAAGUGUGGUUUUGUAGGACUUGGGAUUCUUGUCUUUGACAAUAUGUCCAACAGAAAUGUUGUGUCCUAUAAUUCAGUAAUUUCAGGUCUUGGUUUGCAUGGACUUGCUGUUCAGGCUUUCAAACUAUUUGAGGAGAUGAUAGAGACAGGGAUGAAACCUGACGAAUCUACAUUCUCUUCCCUUCUUUGUGCAUGCUGUCAUAGUGGCCUUGUCAAAGCUGGGCGGGAAGUUUUCAGGAGAAUGAUGGAUGAAUUUUGCAUCCAACCUAAAACUGAGCAUUACGUUCACAUUGUAAAACUCCUAGGGACGGUUGGGGAAUUGAAAGAGGCAUACAAUUUUAUCUUGUCCUUGAAACAGCCGGUGGAUUCUGGAAUUUGGGGAGCACUUUUAUCAUGUUGUCAUAGUCAUAGGAGUUAUGAGUUGGCAGAAAUAGUGUCCCAGCAUCUCUUUGAUAACGAGCCCAGAAAAGGUGCCUACAGAGUGAUGCUUUCUAAUAUUUAUGCAGGUGAUGGGAGGUGGGAUGAUGUAAAGAAGAUGAGAGAUGAUAUGGACAAUGUUGGAGUAAGGAAAAUUCCUGGUGUCAGUUGGAUUGGAGGUAGUUGCAGUUAAUCAAUGAAAUGAUUGAUUGUAUCUCAGAUUGUCGUCAAAUCAGAUCAUGCACAGGAAGCUUUAUCCAGAGAUAUGUUGAGGAAACUAGAGAUGGUCAUUGGUGAACUGGGAGGAGACUUGGCACUGUGAUGACCAAUGGUUUUGCAGCAACAGCGGAAGUUAAAACUCUUAUCAUCUCUCAUCCUUGAGCCUGCCACUUAAUGUAUGAACACCAGUUUUUCCUUAGGUAUGGUAUGUGACUUGCCUUGCUGAAACACUAAACAACAGUGUUACAGCAAUAUGAAUGGAAUACAAUUUCUGAUUUCCAUUUGAUCAAAAAAUGCAAUGUUACAGGUACAGCAAUCUUAAUAAAAUACAGUUUCUCAUUUCUAUUUGAUCG
rnacentral:misc_RNA from 1 species